rnacentral:lncRNA from 1 species
CGAUUACAUACUUGGACUUUAGUUUUUGACAGAGCCCUGAGCAACUGCUCACAAGGGAAAGCAUAUGUAGAUUGAAGCUAUGCAGAAUGAAGUCUCAACAGCUGAAGCUUACUGGGGAACCAAUGGUGCCCUAAAUUAAGAUAAUUUAUGAAAUGUUGGUCUCCCUCUGUUGCUGCCCAGGCUCCAGGCUGAAGUGCAGAGGCAUGAUCUUGGCUCACUGCCGCCUCCUCUUCCCAGGCUCAAGCGAUCCUCCCACAUUUGCCUCCUGAGUAGCUGAGACUACAGUCUUGCCUUGUCACCCAGGCUGGAGUGCAAUGGCACAAUCUCGGCUCACUGCAAUCUCUGCCUCCCAGGUUCAAGUGAUUCUUCUGCCUCAGCCUCCCAAGCAACUGGGACUACAGAACCUCAUGUGACAGAUGUCCUGUCUUACUACAGGAGAGAAGAAAUGUCACACGGAGAGUCCAAGAAGAAUCUGAACAAACAGGCCUUGUUAAGUUUACCCCAGUUUAUUAUCCUUAGAUCAUACUCUUUUGUGCUCCAAUCACACUUUUGUAUGACUUUCUGUAAAAAUGCACAGUUUUCCCUGGUUCUUUCCAUGUUCAAUUCUGAAGGCUUUGUUUCAUAUAAAACUUACGUUAAAUAAAUUUGGUUAUCCUAUUUUUUUGUUGUUAAUUUGUCUUUUGUUGUAAAAGCCUCAGCCAUGAACCUUGUGAUGGGUGAAAAAUAUUUUCUCUCCUACCUCAUGUUGGUGAAUACAUGCCUAGCUUCAGUUCUCAUUGCGAUACGAAAACACAGGCAGG